rnacentral:rRNA from 1 species
GGUCAAGCUAAUAAGGGCUGACGGUGGAUACCUAGGAACACAGAGAA